rnacentral:rRNA from 1 species
CUCUUCGUCGGCAGCGUCAGAUGUGUAUAAGAGACAGGAAUAAUGUUAUCCCGUUUUUUAAGAGGUUUAGCUUCAUGAGUUCCAAGAAGCAAAGAGACUUUUCUAAGUUCAGGCAGAUUGCUCAAAUCAUAGAAGAAGGAAAGCAUUUAACUAAAGAUGGCUUGAUUGAGAUUUUGAGUUUAAGAAAAGACAUGAAUGACGGUGGUAAAAGGGAUAACGAGUAUUGCAAAAUCAUAAGAAACCUCCCGAAAGAAUCCUCAGAGACCAUACGCCAGGCAUUCAGGAAAAUAUAGGGAUUGUCGUCAAUUUUUCUGGUGAUGAUAUGGUCCGAACUCUAUAGCGAUAUAGAGGGGUUUUAUAACCCGCCAGUAAAAACUGGUAACAUAAUUUGAACGGUCCUAAGGUAGCGAAAUUCCUUGUCGGGUAAGUUCCGACCUGCACGAAUGGUGUAACGACUUGGGCAUUGUCUCAACGAGAGUCCCGGCGAAAUUGUAGUAGCGGUGAAGAUACCGCUUUCCCGCGGAAGGACGAAAAGACCCCGGAACCUUUACUGUAACUUGGCAUUGGGUUUUGGUAUGGUCUGUGUAGCAUAGGUGGGAGGCUUUGAUACCGGUGCGCCAGCAUCGGUGGAGCCGUCAGUGAAAUACCACCCUCUCUGUUUCGAAAUUCUAACCCUGCCUGUGAAAGGUGGGGGACAUUGUCUGGUAGGCAGUUUUACUGGGGCGGUAGCCUCCUAAAAUGUAACGGAGGCGUCCAAAGGUUCCCUCAACGCGGUCGGCAAUCGCGUGAAGAGCAUAAGGGUAAAAGGGAGCUUAACUGUAAGGUCGACGGACCGAACAGAGCCGAAAGGCGGGCCUAGUGAACCUUUGGUUCUGUGUGGAAAGGCCAAAGACCAACGGAUAAAAGGUACUCCGGGGAUAACAGGCUUAUCGCGCUCGAGAGUUCCCAUCGACGGCGCGGUUUGGCACCUCGAUGUCGGCUCGUCACAUCCUGGGGCUGAAGCAGGUCCCAAGGGUUGGGCUGUUCGCCCAUUAAAGUGGCACGCGAGCUGGGUUCAGAACGUCGUGAGACAGUUCGGACUUCAUCCUCCGUGGGCGUUUAGAAACUUGAGGAAAGCUGUCCUUUGUACGAGAGGACCAGGAUGGACAGACCUCUGGUGCACCUGUUGUCACGCCAGUGGCACGGCAGGGUAGCUAUGUCUGGAAGGGAUAACCGCUGAAAGCAUCUAAGCGGGAAGCCUCCUCCAAGAUUAAGUUUCUCUUUUCUUGCCUUCGGGCGAGAAAUUAAGGUCCCUUAGAGAUUAUGAGGUUGAUAGGCGAUAGGUGUAAGCACAGUAAUGUGUUCAGCCGAGUCGUACUAAUAGACCGAAUGGCUUGUCCCU